rnacentral:rRNA from 1 species
UACGUAGGGUGCAAGCGUUAAUCGGAAUUACUGGGCGUAAAGCGCGCGUAGGCGGCUUUGUAAGUUAGAGGUGAAAGCCCGGGGCUCAACUCCGGAACUGCCUUUAAGACUGCAUCGCUUGAAUCCGGGAGAGGUGAGUGGAAUUCCGAGUGUAGAGGUGAAAUUCGUAGAUAUUCGGAAGAACACCAGUGGCGAAGGCGGCUCACUGGACCGGUAUUGACGCUGAGGUGCGAAAGCGUGGGAGCAAACAGG